rnacentral:rRNA from 1 species
AUGCCUAACACAUGCAAGUCUAGGGGUAGCAAUACCACUGGCGCACGGGUGAGUAACACGUAGGUUAUCCUCGCCCCCAUCACAGACACUACCCGGGAAACCGGGGCUAAUAUCUGAUGAGGUCGCGAGAUCAAAGCUUCGGCGGAUGGGGAUGAGCCUGCGGCUGAUUAGCUAGUUGGUGAGGUAAUGGCUCACCAAGGCGACGAUCAGUAGCUGGUCUGAGAGGACGAACAGCCACACUGGAACUGAGACACGGUCCAGACUCCUACGGGAGGCAGCAGUGAGGAAUAUUGGUCAAUGGGAGCAAUCCUGAACCAGCAAUGCCGCGUGUGGGAUGACAGGGCUUCGCCUUGUAAACCACUGUCGGACGGGACGAAAGGAGGCCUCGGGCCUCUGGGACGGUACCGUCAAAGGAAGGGUCGGCUAACUACGUG